rnacentral:rRNA from 1 species
GACGAACGCUGGCGGCGUGCCUAAUACAUGCAAGUAGAACGCUGAAGGAGGAGCUUGCUCUUCUGGAUGAGUUGCGAACGGGUGAGUAACGCGUAGGUAACCUGCCUGGUAGCGGGGGAUAACUAUUGGAAACGAUAGCUAAUACCGCAUAACAGUAGAUGUUGCAUGACAUUUGCUUGAAAGGUGCAAUUGCACCACUACCAGAUGGACCUGCGUUGUAUUAGCUAGUUGGUGGGGUAACGGCUCACCAAGGCGACGAUACAUAGCCGACCUGAGAGGGUGAUCGGCCACCCUGGGACUGAGACACGGCCCAGACUCCUACGGGAGGCAGCAGUAGGGAAUCUUCGGCAAUGGACGGAAGUCUGACCGAGCAACGCCGCGUGAGUGAAGAAGGUUGUCGGAUCGUAAAGCUCGGUUGUAAGAGAAGAACGAGUGUGAGAGUGGAAAGUUCACACUGUGACGGUAUCUGACCAGAAAGGGACGGCUAACUACGUG